rnacentral:rRNA from 1 species
UUGGGAAUAUUGCACAAUGGGCGAAAGCCUGAUGCAGCGACGCCGCGUGAGGGAUGACGGCCUUCGGGUUGUAAACCUCUUUCAGCAGGGACGAAGCGCAAGUGACGGUACCUGCAGAAGAAGCACCGGCUAACUACGUGCCAGCAGCCGCGGUAAUACGUAGGGUGCAAGCGUUGUCCGGAAUUACUGGGCGUAAAGAGUUCGUAGGCGGUUUGUCGCGUCGUUUGUGAAAACCAGCAGCUCAACUGCUGGCUUGCAGGCGAUACGGGCAGACUUGAGUACUGCAGGGGAGACUGGAAUUCCUGGUGUAGCGGUGAAAUGCGCAGAUAUCAGGAGGAACACCGGUGGCGAAGGCGAGUCUCUGGGCAGUAACUGACGCUGAGGAACGAAAGCGUGGGUAGCGAACAGG